rnacentral:snRNA from 1 species
AGAUGUGAGGGCAAUGUGGCUACAACAUGUGUCACCCUAUUGAUCAGCAGGGUUGAGUCUGCUGAUGUGGCUAGAUAGGCCUCCCCUUCCUCCCUCACAGUCCCAUGUACCUCACCAGAAGCUAUGCAAUAUGGAGAACCAACCUUUCUUCAGGCAUGAGCAGUCUGGUAGCUGUACUCUCUGCUAGCAAACUUUCAAGGUUCAAAUUUGCUUUACCUCUGACUGCUUAGGGGUAUGAAUUUUCUUUUUUUCCAUAAUCAAGAGGCACAGGAUUAUAAAAGUAAAACAAAAUCUAGAAAAUACUAGAUUAUCUA